rnacentral:rRNA from 1 species
GACGAACGCUGGCGGCGUGCCUAAUACAUGCAAGUUGAGCGCUGACGGUUGGUACUUGUACCAACUGGAUGAGCAGCGAACGGGUGAGUAACGCGUGGGGAAUCUGCCUUUGAGCGGGGGACAACAUUUGGAAACGAAUGCUAAUACCGCAUAAAACCUUUAAACACAAGUUUUAAGUUUGAAAGAUGCAAUUGCAUCACUCAAAGAUGAUCCCGCGUUGUAUUAGCUAGUUGGUGAGGUAAAGGCUCACCAAGGCGAUGAUACAUAGCCGACCUGAGAGGGUGAUCGGCCACAUUGGGACUGAGACACGGCCCAAACUCCUACGGGAGGCAGCAGUAGGGAAUCUUCGGCAAUGGACGAAAGUCUGACCGAGCAACGCCGCGUGAGUGAAGAAGGUUUUCGGAUCGUAAAACUCUGUUGGUAGAGAAGAACGUCGGUGAGAGUGGAAAGCUCAUCAAGUGACGGUAACUACCCAGAAAGGGACGGCUAACUACGUG